ensembl:lncRNA
CAAAUUUUCACUUCAGCCAUUAACGUUUGAAGAAACGUUUGGAGGCCAAGUCAACACAUUGAAUCUCGUUGUUGUGUUCCUCAAAGCAGAAGUUCCCCAGCAGAACAUUGCCCAAAGCAUCACACUGCCUCCACCGGCUUUCCUUCUUCCCAUAGUGCAUCCUGGUGCCAUGUGUUCUCCAGGUAAAUUAUGCACACGCACCCGGCCAUCCACGUGAUGUAAAAGAAAAUGUGAUUCAUCAGACCAGGCCACCUUAUUCCAUUGCUCCGUGGACAGGUUCUGAAGCUCUCGGCAGUGGACAGGGGUCAGCAUGGGGACCCUGACUGGUCUGCAGCUAAGUAGUACCAUAUGCAACAAACUGCAAUGCACUGUGUGUUGCUGGUUCACCGCUUUUCCUUCUUUGGACCACUUCUGAUAGGUACUGACCACUGCAGACUAGGAACACCCCACAAGGGCUGCAGUUUUGGAGAUGCUCUGACCCAGUCGUCUAGCCAUCACAGUUUGGCCUUUGUCAAAGUUGUUCAGAUCCUUACGUUUGCCCAAUAUUCCUGCUUCUAACACAUCAACUUUGAGGACAGAACAGUCUUCCCAGUGUAUAUACAGCAUCAAUAAAAUCUUGCCUGGUGAAGUUAAUCAACACCGCUUACCACAUCGUGGGCAGUGAGCUCCCCUUCAGCGCUUACGAGAGAACGGUCGCACUUCUGAAGACGAGUGGAGAAGACGUUGGUUCUCAGUACCUCUCUGAUGUAGCUUGUUGAAGCUUGGAGGGUCCCGACGUGGAGAACUUCAACCCAAUGCCAAUAGUGAAGAGGUGGUUCAAGGAGGCGGACAGAAGGAGCUUACAGUAAAUGAAAGGCCAUUAAAACUCUGAUCUACUGGCCCAUAGGGCCAGUGGGGAUUUUUUUUUUUUUU